rnacentral:rRNA from 1 species
CCUACGGGUGGCAGCAGUGAGGAAUAUUGGUCAAUGGGCGCGAGCCUGAACCAGCCAAGUACCGUGAAGGAUGACUACCCUACGGGUUGUAAACUUCUUUUAUAAAGGAAUAAAGUGAGGCACGUGUGCCUUUUUGUAUGUACUUUAUGAAUAAGGAUCGGCUAACUCCGUGCCAGCAGCCGCGGUAAUACGGAGGAUCCGAGCGUUAUCCGGAUUUAUUGGGUUUAAAGGGAGCGUAGAUGGGUUGUUAAGUCAGUUGUGAAAGUUUGCGGCUCAACCGUAAAACUGCAAUUGAUACUGGCAGUCUUGAGUACAGUUGAGGUAGGCGGAAUUCGUGGUGUAGCGGUGAAAUGCUUAGAUAUCACGAAGAACUCUGAUUGCGAAGGCAGCCUACUAAACUGCCACUGACAUUGAUGCUCGAAAGUGUGGGUAUCAAACAGGAUUAGAUACCCCUGUAGUC